AACGCGAAGAACCUUACCAAGGCUUGACAUGAACCGGAACGGCGCAGAGAUGUGUCGGCCACUUGUGGCCGGUUUACAGGUGGUGCAUGGUUGUCGUCAGCUCGUGUCGUGAGAUGUUGGGUUAAGUCCCGCAACGAGCGCAACCCUCGUUCCAUGUUGCCAGCGGGUUAUGCCGGGGACUCAUGGGAGACUGCCGGGGUCAACUCGGAGGAAGGUGGGGACGACGUCAAAUCAUCAUGCCCCUUAUGUCUUGGGCUUCACGCAUGCUACAAUGGCCGGUACAAAGGGUUGCGAUGCUGUGAGGUGGAGCUAAUCCCAAAAAGCCGGUCUCAGUUCGGAUUGAGGUCUGCAACUCGACCUCAUGAAGUCGGAGUCGCUAGUAAUCGCAGAUCAGCAACGCUGCGGUGAAUACGUUCCCGGGCCUUGUACACACCG
rnacentral:rRNA from 1 species